GUCCUAGUGGCGCAGGGGUGCGUACUCCCAAUAUCUUCGCCUUCUUGUGAUUUUUCUGGGAGUCUAGGGUUCGAUUCCCUGCCAGGGCA